GUGAAAAGCAUUAACUGGGACGAUGGUGAUACGAUGGUGACGUGUGAUUGCGAAGGCCUGUGUCCCACCCUGGGAGUUGAACCUGCCUGCUUGGCUCUGACAGCUUUCUUCUGGCUAGCAGUACACAUGCCCGGGUGGGGUCGGCAUUACUAAGAGGUGUGGCCUGCCUUAUAACGCACAAGUCUGUUUUCACCUUCAACGAGAGAUGUUGCCUGCAGCGGACAGGCGUGCCCAUGGGUGGCCCUAUGGCGGGCCCUGUUCCCGGAGUGGUGUUGCGGGGGAUUGAGGCGAGGACCCUGGGAGCCUUGGGGGCGGCUGCGAAGUUCUGCCUUCGCUGCGUUGAUGACGUCUUCACGGUGUGGGAGCGAGACGCGGGUCCGAGGAUCUUGGAGGAGAGGCUCGCGGUCGGGGCCUGCAGAGCUGCCCUGGGGCGGCGGCAGGCUGGCAAGAUGGAGGCGCGCUUCUUGGACCUGCGGCUCGGGGUCGAGAGUCGGACACUGUCCACUGCAGUGUGUGGGAGGCCCAUAUACGAUCCUGUGCUGGUCCCCGGAUGGUCUGCCGACCCUUUCAAGUGUGGGCUCUCAGCGGUUCGAUGUCUUUUUGGAGGGGCCGUUCUCUGCGGCAGCACGCCUGAGGGGCUGAGCAGGGAAUUGGACUGCAUCUGU
rnacentral:lncRNA from 1 species